rnacentral:misc_RNA from 1 species
AGAAAGGUUGUUUGCGAAAACAUGUGUAAGGUGGAGAAUGUUAGUAAGGGACGGUGGCAGUAACGGUUCUGUGUCUGGGAUCAGUGAGAACAGUUUGUACAUUAGCAAAACCAGUUUCCUUGAUCACUCUUUCAAGAUCAGUCAGAUAGUAUUCAUCCAGAAAAGGUUCUGUGCUCUUCAUCAAUGUAAACAGCACUGGUGGUAAUUCCUGAAGAAUCUUCGACUUUGGCGAGUUAUCAGUUAUAGCAACAGUUCCUCCAGGUCGAAGCAAACGAAAUGACUCUUUCACUAUAUUUCUUAUUGCUCUUUCAGGACAUUCAUGAAACACAUAAGGAAUUGAAACGAGAUCAAAUGAUUCGGAAGGCAAGCCAGUGUUUU